rnacentral:rRNA from 1 species
AUAAUAAUUUGUCUUUUAAUUAAAGGCUAGAAUGAAUGAUUGGACGAGAUAAAAUCUGUCUCUAAUUAAUUUUUAUUUGAAUUUAAUUUUUAAGUUAAAAAGCUUAAAUUUUUUUAAAGGACGAGAAGACCCUAUAGAGUUUUAUAAUAAUAUUUUUUAUUUAAUUUUAAUUUUUUUAAUAAUAAAUUUAUUAUUUUAUUGGGGUGAUAGGAAUAUUAAUAGAACUUUUUUAAAAAAUUUUACAUUUAUUUAUGAAUUUUUGAUCCUAAAAUUUAGAUUAUUAGAUUAAAUUACCUUAGGGAUAACAGCGUAAUUUUUUUUAGAGUUCUUAUCGAAAAAGAAGAUUGC